GCGGGGUGGAGCAGUUCGGUAGCUCGCUGGGCUCAUAACCCAGAGGUCGUCUGUGGGGGCCCAGCCCCCCACGCCCCA
rnacentral:tRNA from 1 species